rnacentral:rRNA from 1 species
UGGGGAAUUUUGGACAAUGGGCGCAAGCCUGAUCCAGCAAUGCCGCGUGCAGGAUGAAGGCCUUCGGGUUGUAAACUGCUUUUGUACGGAACGAAAAGCCUCUCUCUAAUACAGGGGGGUGAUGACGGUACCGUAAGAAUAAGCACCGGCUAACUACGUGCCAGCAGCCGCGGUAAUACGUAGGGUGCAAGCGUUAAUCGGAAUUACUGGGCGUAAAGCGUGCGCAGGCGGUUUUGUAAGACAGUGGUGAAAUCCCCGGGCUCAACCUGGGAACUGCCAUUGUGACUGCAAGGCUGGAGUGCGGCAGAGGGGGAUGGAAUUCCGCGUGUAGCAGUGAAAUGCGUAGAUAUGCGGAGGAACACCGAUGGCGAAGGCAAUCCCCUGGGCCUGCACUGACGCUCAUGCACGAAAGCGUGGGGAGCAAACAGGAUUAGAUACCCUGGUAGUCCACGCCCUAAAACGAUGUCAACUGGUUGUUGGGGAUUUAUUUCUUCAGUAACGAAGCUAACGCGUGAAGUUGACCGCCUGGGGGAGUACGGCCGCAAGGUUAAAAACUUAAAGGAAUUGACGGGGUC